CCUACGGGAGGCUGCAGUGAGGAAUAUUGGUCAAUGGCCGAGAGGCUGAACCAGCCAAGUCGCUUGAGGGAAGACGGCCCUACGGGUUGUAAACCUCUUUUGUCGGGGAGCAAAGCGAACCACGUGUGGUUCAUUGAGAGUACCCGAAGAAAAAGCCUCGGCAAACUCCGUGCCAGAAGCCGCGGUAAUACGGAGGAUGCGAGCGUUAUCCGGAUCUAUUGGGGUAAACGGGUGCGCAGGGGGAGGUGCAAGUCAGCGGUAAAAUUGCGGGGCUAAACCCCGUACUGCCGUUGAAACUGCAUCCCUUGAGUGCGCGAGAAGUAUGCGGAAUGCGUGGUGUAGCGGUGAAAUGCUUAGAUAUCACGAAGAACCCCGAUUGCGAAGGCAGCUUACUAAACUGUGACUGACAUUGAUGCUCGAAAGUGUGGGUAUCAAACAGGAUUAGAUACCCGAGUAGUC
rnacentral:rRNA from 1 species